AUGAGGUUUGUUUUCCUUAAGGUCAAGGUGCAAGAGCUCGAUUUGAUUUCAUGUGAUUGGAUUCAGUUUCCUCAUGCCUCUCUGUUUGCAUUGCAGGCUCUGUUGGUCAGUCUUCAAUUCUUCAUGCUGCUGCUGCUACUACUACAUGAGGACCCUCUUCAAUUCUGCAUCCGUUGCGGCCGCCGCAGCUUCCACCUCCAGAAGAGCACCUGCUCCUCGUGCGGUUACCCGGCCGCCCGCAUCCGCAAGUGUGAAGCGCGAAUCCAUGUCCGAAGCUGUGAAGAAUAUCAGCAGAGAGUAGCAUAUUAUGUGUUGUAG
rnacentral:rRNA from 1 species